rnacentral:rRNA from 1 species
GGAGGCAGCAGUGAGGAAUAUUGGUCAAUGGGCGAGAGCCUGAACCAGCCAAGUCGCGUGAGGGAAGACGGCCCUACGGGUUGUAAACCUCUUUUGUCAGGGAGCAAGAACAGGCACGCGUGCCUGACUGAGAGUACCUGAAGAAAAAGCAUCGGCUAACUCCGUGCCAGCAGCCGCGGUAAUACGGAGGAUGCGAGCGUUAUCCGGAUUUAUUGGGUUUAAAGGGUGCGUAGGCGGACUGCCAAGUCAGCGGUAAAAUUGCGGGGCUCAACCCCGUCGAGCCGUUGAAACUGGUGGUCUUGAGUGGGCGAGAAGUACGCGGAAUGUGUGGUGUAGCGGUGAAAUGCAUAGAUAUCACGCAGAACUCCGAUUGCGAAGGCAGCGUACCGGCGCCCAACUGACGCUGAAGCACGAAAGCGUGGGUAUCGAACAGGAUUAGAUACCCUGGUAGUCCACGCAGUAAACGAUGAAUGCUAGCUGUCCGGGACGAAUGAGUCCUGGGUGGCACAGCGAAAGCGUUAAGCAUUCCACCUGGGGAGUACGCCGGCAACGGUGAAACUCAAAGGAAUUGACGGGGGCCCGCACAAGCGGAGGAACAUGUGGUUUAAUUCGAUGAUACGCGAGGAACCUUACCCGGGCUCAAACGCACUACGAAUGAUGCUGAAAGGUGUCAGCCAGCAAUGGCGUAGUGCGAGGUGCUGCAUGGUUGUCGUCAGCUCGUGCCGUGAGGUGUCGGCUUAAGUGCCAUAACGAGCGCAACCCCUACCGACAGUUGCUAACUGGUCAAGCAGAGGACUCUGUCGGGACUGCCGGCGCAAGCUGUGAGGAAGGCGGGGAUGACGUCAAAUCAGCACGGCCCUUACGUCCGGGGCGACACACGUGUUACAAUGGCAGGUACAGCGGGAAGCCACCUGGCGACAGGGAGCGGAACCCGAAAACCUGUCUCAGUUCGGAUUGGAGUCUGCAACCCGACUCCAUGAAGCUGGAUUCGCUAGUAAUCGCGCAUCAGCCAUGGCGCGGUGAAUACGUUCC